rnacentral:rRNA from 1 species
UUAAGCGACUAAGCGUACACGGUGGAUGCCCUGGCAGUCAGAGGCGAUGAAGGACGUGCUAAUCUGCGAUAAGCGUCGGUAAGGUGAUAUGAACCGUUAUAACCGGCGAUUUCCGAAUGGGGAAACCCAGUGUGUUUCGACACACUAUCAUUAACUGAAUCCAUAGGUUAAUGAGGCGAACCGGGGGAACUGAAACAUCUAAGUACCCCGAGGAAAAGAAAUCAACCGAGAUUCCCCCAGUAGCGGCGAGCGAACGGGGAGGAGCCCAGAGCCUGAAUCAGUGUGUGUGUUAGUGGAAGCGUCUGGAAAGGCGCGCGAUACAGGGUGACAGCCCCGUACACAAAAAUGCACAUGCUGUGAGCUCGAUGAGUAGGGCGGGACACGUGGUAUCCUGUCUGAAUAUGGGGGGACCAUCCUCCAAGGCUAAAUACUCCUGACUGACCGAUAGUGAACCAGUACCGUGAGGGAAAGGCGAAAAGAACCCCGGCGAGGGGAGUGAAAAAGAACCUGAAACCGUGUACGUACAAGCAGUGGGAGCACAGAGCAAUCUGUGUGACUGCGUACCUUUUGUAUAAUGGGUCAGCGACUUAUAUUCUGUAGCAAGGUUAACCGAAUAGGGGAGCCGAAGGGAAACCGAGUCUUAACUGGGCGUUAAGUUGCAGGGUAUAGACCCGAAACCCGGUGAUCUAGCCAUGGGCAGGUUGAAGGUUGGGUAACACUAACUGGAGGACCGAACCGACUAAUGUUGAAAAAUUAGCGGAUGACUUGUGGCUGGGGGUGAAAGGCCAAUCAAACCGGGAGAUAGCUGGUUCUCCCCGAAAGCUAUUUAGGUAGCGCCUCGUGAAUUCAUCUCCGGGGGUAGAGCACUGUUUCGGCAAGGGGGUCAUCCCGACUUACCAACCCGAUGCAAACUGCGAAUACCGGAGAAUGUUAUCACGGGAGACACACGGCGGGUGCUAACGUCCGUCGUGAAGAGGGAAACAACCCAGACCGCCAGCUAAGGUCCCAAAGUCAUGGUUAAGUGGGAAACGAUGUGGGAAGGCCCAGACAGCCAGGAUGUUGGCUUAGAAGCAGCCAUCAUUUAAAGAAAGCGUAAUAGCUCACUGGUCGAGUCGGCCUGCGCGGAAGAUGUAACGGGGCUAAACCAUGCACCGAAGCUGCGGCAGCGACACUGUGUGUUGUUGGGUAGGGGAGCGUUCUGUAAGCCUGUGAAGGUGUGCUGUGAGGUAUGCUGGAGGUAUCAGAAGUGCGAAUGCUGACAUAAGUAACGAUAAAGCGGGUGAAAAGCCCGCUCGCCGGAAGACCAAGGGUUCCUGUCCAACGUUAAUCGGGGCAGGGUGAGUCGACCCCUAAGGCGAGGCCGAAAGGCGUAGUCGAUGGGAAACAGGUUAACAUUCCUGUACUUGGUGUUACUGCGAAGGGGGGACGGAGAAGGCUAUGUUGGCCGGGCGACGGUUGUCCCGGUUUAAGCGUGUAGGCUGGUUUUCCAGGCAAAUCCGGAAAAUCAAGGCUGAGGCGUGAUGACGAGGCACUACGGUGCUGAAGCAACAAAUGCCCUGCUUCCAGGAAAAGCCUCUAAGCAUCAGGUAACAUCAAAUCGUACCCCAAACCGACACAGGUGGUCAGGUAGAGAAUACCAAGGCGCUUGAGAGAACUCGGGUGAAGGAACUAGGCAAAAUGGUGCCGUAACUUCGGGAGAAGGCACGCUGAUAUGUAGGUGAAGUCCCUCGCGGAUGGAGCUGAAAUCAGUCGAAGAUACCAGCUGGCUGCAACUGUUUAUUAAAAACACAGCACUGUGCAAACACGAAAGUGGACGUAUACGGUGUGACGCCUGCCCGGUGCCGGAAGGUUAAUUGAUGGGGUUAGCGCAAGCGAAGCUCUUGAUCGAAGCCCCGGUAAACGGCGGCCGUAACUAUAACGGUCCUAAGGUAGCGAAAUUCCUUGUCGGGUAAGUUCCGACCUGCACGAAUGGCGUAAUGAUGGCCAGGCUGUCUCCACCCGAGACUCAGUGAAAUUGAACUCGCUGUGAAGAUGCAGUGUACCCGCGGCAAGACGGAAAGACCCCGUGAACCUUUACUAUAGCUUGACACUGAACAUUGAGCCUUGAUGUGUAGGAUAGGUGGGAGGCUUUGAAGUGUGGACGCCAGUCUGCAUGGAGCCGACCUUGAAAUACCACCCUUUAAUGUUUGAUGUUCUAACGUGGACCCGUGAUCCGGGUUGCGGACAGUGUCUGGUGGGUAGUUUGACUGGGGCGGUCUCCUCCUAAAGAGUAACGGAGGAGCACGAAGGUUGGCUAAUCCUGGUCGGACAUCAGGAGGUUAGUGCAAUGGCAUAAGCCAGCUUGACUGCGAGCGUGACGGCGCGAGCAGGUGCGAAAGCAGGUCAUAGUGAUCCGGUGGUUCUGAAUGGAAGGGCCAUCGCUCAACGGAUAAAAGGUACUCCGGGGAUAACAGGCUGAUACCGCCCAAGAGUUCAUAUCGACGGCGGUGUUUGGCACCUCGAUGUCGGCUCAUCACAUCCUGGGGCUGAAGUAGGUCCCAAGGGUAUGGCUGUUCGCCAUUUAAAGUGGUACGCGAGCUGGGUUUAGAACGUCGUGAGACAGUUCGGUCCCUAUCUGCCGUGGGCGCUGGAGAACUGAGGGGGGCUGCUCCUAGUACGAGAGGACCGGAGUGGACGCAUCACUGGUGUUCGGGUUGUCAUGCCAAUGGCACUGCCCGGUAGCUAAAUGCGGAAGAGAUAAGUGCUGAAAGCAUCUAAGCACGAAACUUGCCCCGAGAUGAGUUCUCCCUGACCCUUUAAGGGUCCUGAAGGAACGUUGAAGACGACGACGUUGAUAGGCCGGGUGUGUAAGCGCAGCGAUGCGUUGAGCUAACCGGUACUAAUGAACCGUGAGGCUUAACCUU